rnacentral:misc_RNA from 1 species
AAGUCGUAACAAGGUUUCCGUAGGUGAACCUGCGGAAGGAUCAUUAUUAUUUGGGUCGGGUUUACUUCUAGUAACUUAGUAACUUUGUUUCAGUCGCUGUCUUAGUAUAUAGAAGUAAACUUUUACCAAAUAAAUCCUAUAUUUUCUCCUAUAGGAGCAAGAUGAACAUAUUUAAAACCCACACUUUGAAUGUAUUAUAUAUAUUUGUUUUGAAUGAUAAAAAUUAAAGAUCACUUUCAACAACGGAUCUCUUGGCUCUC